rnacentral:rRNA from 1 species
GAUGAACGCUGGCGGCGUGCCUAAUACAUGCAAGUCGAGCGAACAGACGAGGAGCUUGCGCCUUCGACGUUAGCGGCGGACGGGUGAGUAACACGUAGGUAACCUACCUAUAAUACUGGGAUAACUUCGGGAAACCGGCGCUUAUACCGGAUAAUAUUUCGAACCGCAGGGUUCGAUAGUGAAAGACGGCUUUGCUAUCACUUAUAGAUGGACCUGCGCCGUAUUAGCUAGUUGGUAAGGUAACGGCUUACCAAGGCAACGAUACGUAGCCGACCUGAGAGGGUGGUCGGCCACAAUGGAACUGGGACACGGUCAAGGCUACUACGGGAGGCCGCAGUAGGGAAUCUUCCGCAAAGGGCGAAAGCCUGACGGAGCAACGCCGCGUGAGUGAUGACGGUCUUCGGAUCGUAAAACUCUGUUAUUAGGGAAGAACAAACGUGUAAGUAACUGUGCACGUCGUGACGGUACCUAAUCAGAAAGCCACGGCUAACUACGUG